rnacentral:rRNA from 1 species
GACGAACGCUGGCGGCGUGCCUAACACAUGCAAGUCGAACGGGGUAACUCCUUCGGGGGGUUACUUAGUGGCAACGGGUGAGUAACGCGUGAGGAACCUGCCUUUCAGUGGGGGACAACAGUUGGAAACGACUGCUAAUACCGCAUAACGUAGCGAGACCGCAUGAUCUUGCUACCAAAGCUUUAUGUGCUGAAAGAUGGCCUCGCGUCUGAUUAGCUAGUUGGUGAGGUAACGGCUCACCAAGGCGACGAUCAGUAGCCGGUCUGAGAGGAUGAACGGCCACAUUGGGACUGAGAUACGGCCCAGACUCCUACGGGAGGCAGCAGUGGGGAAUAUUGGGCAAUGGGGGAAACCCUGACCCAGCAACGCCGCGUGAAGGAAGAAGGCCCUCGGGUUGUAAACUUCUUUUACCAGGGACGAAGAACGUGACGGUACCUGGAGAAAAAGCCACGGCUAACUACGUG